UAGGGAAUCUUCGGCAAUGGGGGCAACCCUGGCCGAGCAACGCCGCGUGAGUGAAGAAGGUUUUCGGAUCGUAAAGCUCUGUUGUAAGUCAAGAACGGGUGUGAGAGUGGAAAGUUCACACUGUGACGGUAGCUUACCAGAAAGGGACGGCUAACUACGUGCCAGCAGCCGCGGUAAUACGUAGGUCCCGAGCGUUGUCCGGAUUUAUUGGGCGUAAAGCGAGCGCAGGCGGUUUGAUAAGUCUGAAGUUAAAGGCUGUGGCUCAACCAUAGUUCGCUUUGGAAACUGUCAAACUUGAGUGCAGAAGGGGAGAGUGGAAUUCCAUGUGUAGCGGUGAAAUGCGUAGAUAUAUGGAGGAACACCGGUGGCGAAAAGCGGCUCUCUGGUCUGUAACUGACGCUGAGGCUCGAAAAGCGUGGGGAGCGAACAGGAUUAGAUACCCUGGUAGUCCACGCCGUAAAACGAUGAGUGCUAGGUGUUGGAUCCUUUCCGGGAUUCAGUGCCGCAGCUAAACGCAUUAAGCACUCCGCCUGGGGAGUACGACCGCAAGGUUGAAAC
rnacentral:rRNA from 1 species